GAAGGGGCGGAGCAAAAAGUGUGUGCAGGAGAGGAGUCAAGCAGAGAGAGCUCCUUUUUCAUGAAACGGGAGUAAAGUCGUGAACUUAGAGGAGAGAAACAAAUUAAAGUAUCGAUCAUAUACCACUACCAACGUCCUGAUCGAUACGUGCAUCGAUCUGCCCACCCUUGUCUCCUGGAUCGUAGCUGAGAUCAGCGUGAACCACGUGGGUCUCUGCUCCCUGAUCUGUUUGCUGUGUUUGGAAAGAGUUCCAGCUUCAUCACGGAGUUUCUCUCGGUUUGUGGGCUCAUCUAAAGCUGAUCAGCAGGAGGAGAAGAGUCUGACGGAGCACCAGACGAACAUUUUCAACCAUUUGGACUCAGCUCAGCUGCUACAGUGGACAAAAAUGUCAUCAACACAAAAGG